AGUGAACGCUGGCGGUAGGCCUAACACAUGCAAGUCGAACGGCAGCACAGUAAGAGCUUGCUCUUAUGGGUGGCGAGUGGCGGACGGGUGAGGAAUACAUCGGAAUCUACUUUUUCGUGGGGGAUAACGUAGGGAAACUUACGCUAAUACCGCAUACGACCUACGGGUGAAAGCAGGGGAUCUUCGGACCUUGCGCGAUUGAAUGAGCCGAUGUCGGAUUAGCUAGUUGGCGGGGUAAAGGCCCACCAAGGCGACGAUCCGUAGCUGGUCUGAGAGGAUGAUCAGCCACACUGGAACUGAGACACGGUCCAGACUCCUACGGGAGGCAGCAGUGGGGAAUAUUGGACAAUGGGCGCAAGCCUGAUCCAGCCAUACUGCGUGGGUGAAGAAGGCCUUCGGGUUGUAAAGCCCUUUUGUUGGGAAAGAAAAGCAGCAGGUUAAUACCCCGCUGUUCUGACGGUACCCAAAGAAUAAGCACCGGCUAACUUCGUG
rnacentral:rRNA from 1 species